CAUGCAAGUCGAACGGUAACAGGAAACAGCUUGCUGUUUCGCUGACGAGUGGCGGACGGGUGAGUAAUGUCUGGGAAACUGCCUGAUGGAGGGGGAUAACUACUGGAAACGGUAGCUAAUACCGCAUAAUGUCGCAAGACCAAAGAGGGGGACCUUCGGGCCUCUUGCCAUCGGAUGUGCCCAGAUGGGAUUAGCUUGUUGGUGGGGUAACGGCUCACCAAGGCGACGAUCCCUAGCUGGUCUGAGAGGAUGACCAGCCACACUGGAACUGAGACACGGUCCAGACUCCUACGGGAGGCAGCAGUGGGGAAUAUUGCACAAUGGGCGCAAGCCUGAUGCAGCCAUGCCGCGUGUAUGAAGAAGGCCUUCGGGUUGUAAAGUACUUUCAGCGGGGAGGAAGGGAGUAAAGUUAAUACCUUUGCUCAUUGACGUUACCCGCAGAAGAAGCACCGGCUAACUCCGUGCCAGCAGCCGCGGUAAUACGGAGGGUGCAAGCGUUAAUCGGAAUUACUGGGCGUAAAGCGCACGCAGGCGGUUUGUUAAGUCAGAUGUGAAAUCCCCGGGCUCAACCUGGGAACUGCAUCUGAUACUGGCAAGCUUGAGUCUCGUAGAGGGGGGUAGAAUUCCAGGUGUAGCGGUGAAAUGCGUAGAGAUCUGGAGGAAUACCGGUGGCGAAGGCGGCCCCCUGGACGAAGACUGACGCUCAGGUGCGAAAGCGUGGGGAGCAAACAGGAUUAGAUACCCUGGUAGUCCACGCCGUAAACGAUGUCGACUUGGAGGUUGUGCCCUUGAGGCGUGGCUUCCGGAGCUAACGCGUUAAGUCGACCGCCUGGGGAGUACGGCCGCAAGGUUAAAACUCAAAUGAAUUGACGGGGGCCCGCACAAGCGGUGGAGCAUGUGGUUUAAUUCGAUGCAACGCGAAGAACCUUACCUGGUCUUGACAUCCACGGAAGUUUUCAGAGAUGAGAAUGUGCCUUCGGGAACCGUGAGACAGGUGCUGCAUGGCUGUCGUCAGCUCGUGUUGUGAAAUGUUGGGUUAAGUCCCGCAACGAGCGCAACCCUUAUCCUUUGUUGCCAGCGGUCCGGCCGGGAACUCAAAGGAGACUGCCAGUGAUAAACUGGAGGAAGGUGGGGAUGACGUCAAGUCAUCAUGGCCCUUACGACCAGGGCUACACACGUGCUACAAUGGCGCAUACAAAGAGAAGCGACCUCGCGAGAGCAAGCGGACCUCAUAAAGUGCGUCGUAGUCCGGAAUGGAGUCUGCAACUCGACUCCAUGAAGUCGGAAUCGCUAGUAAUCGUGGAUCAGAGUGCCACGGUGAAUACGUUCCCGGGCCUUGUACACACCGCCCGUCACACCAUGGGAGUGGGUUGCAAAAGAAGUAGGUAGCUUAACCUUCGGGAGGGCGCUACCACUUUU
rnacentral:rRNA from 1 species